CUCCCCCCUCCCACGCCCGGCCGCUCCUGGUGACCCACGCGGUGACCUGCCAGCGUGAUGUCCGACUUGGCUGUCUGCACGGUCACCGCGGAGAGCCAGGCCCCGGGGAGGGCCGCGGAGGGGCGCGCGCCCAGCAGAUGCUUAUGUGAGACCUCACUUUGCUGAAGCAGGUACCCAGGGCUGCUUUAAAGGAGGCCCGGUAAGCAUCAGGAAGAACACGGGUGGGGUAGGUCUCUCCCGGGUUUCGGGCAGCCUGGGGUCUCCAGUGGGCAGGGGUGGGUCUGGCUCACCCAGCCCCCACUCUGAGGCUCCACUGGGCUGGGCUUUGUUUUUUCCUUUGGGGCCAAAAAAUAAAAGUUGGAAAACAGCUGCAUUGGAGACCACUGAGAACAGCGUAAACCAUCCCCAAGGGGCUUGGGUCUGACGGACUGAGUUUCUGGGCCACUUGGAAAGCCCCUCCCUCAGUGCAGAGUCAGAGGAGGCUGGCUCCAUCUUCCGAGCGCCCCUCUGCCUCAGUUUACCCGUUGUGAUGUAGGGCUGACAGCAGCUCCAACCUCCCGGGGUUGUGAGCAUGAGAUGCCCUAACACACAGCGCUCUGACAUGGCCGUGUUCACUGUCUUGUCCUGUUUUUCACUCACCUACCUUCUCCUUGCUCGGAAGAGCUAUCCUCCAGCUUUUUACCUUUUUUCCUUCGGCCAGGCAAAGCUCUUUUUCUCUCUGCUUUUGCCCUUGAUGAAAGAGCCUCCCUUUGUUUUUCUGCUUUGAGUCUCCUUUCUGCUCCCCACCAAAUCUGGAUGGAGAAAUGGCACUCGGCCCACCAACAGCAAGACCCCCGGUUCUUUUAUCUUCUGAUCAGAAGGAGAGCGUACUGGGUUCUUGGCUUUGAAGGCGUGAGGCGAGAGCUUCUGUUCUUCCCAGUGGCUUCUUGAUGCUCUUAUCAAACAGCCUCUGUCUAUUCUGAAACACUUUGAAAGAAUAAAGUGUCUCAAGGUCCAAAACAUGACCCUGUAGUGAAUGGGAAAAUGAGUGGUUAUUGCAGACCUACUGUGUACAAAGCACCGUUUGGCGCUGCAGGAGACUUCAAGGUGAAUCAAACAGUCUCUGCCUUUUAGUGGAGGAAGAACUCAGAGUAAUAGUACCCAGUGCUUAGAUAGUAAUAGUACUCAGUGCUUAUUGCCAAAGGCAGGAUGUGAGAGGGGCCCUAUAAUAAUGCAGAGCAAAUGUCUUGGAAGCAGGGAGCUGAGGACAAUUCUGGAAGCCCAGCAAGGGGAGCCUUUUGGAGAUGGUGGUGGGAAGACAUUCUAGCCAGACAGAUGGAACGAAGGGGGUGGCGGCAAGUGCCGUGUGGUUGGUUGCAGUGCGGGAUGAUGUGGGUGCUAAAGCCCGAGAGGCUUCCCGGGGCUAGCUGAUGAGAGGCCGGCCUGGAACAGCCGGCUAAGAAACAGGAAAUCGGGACACAAUGUGGUUUCAGCGUGCCAGGGUCCGACCUUGGGGCUGUGGUGUGCCUCCCCAGAUGGCCAUUCACUCACUGCCUUCAGGUUCUGGUCUGAAGGGCAUCUCCUCAGGGAGACCUUUCCUCCCAUGCCUAGCCAAGCCAGUGGCACUGGGAGCUGGGGAGGACAAUCCAGGUGUUCAGAAACUAAGGGCUGAAAUUGUAUAUAGGUAGGGUGGUCAUCUGAGAGGACAUGUGACAUUCAAGUAAAGAUGUAGAGAAGAUAACUCGGGAAGAGCCCUCCAGACAGAGGGCACAGCAUGUGCAAAGGCCCUGAGGCAGGAGCCCUUUGGGACUGGUCUAUGAUUAGUAGCAGUAAAAAAGCUUACAGAGAGCCCAAGAGCUUUUGCUGGAGGAGAGAGGUAAUUGCAUUAACUAUAGAAUUACAGGUACUGCCGGCAGCAGCUUCGCAGAAGAAAAAUGUCUCUAAAUGUUUUUUUUGCGGGGGGGAGGGUUUUGUUGAGCUGGUGAUCUCUGGUCAGUUAAGAAGAGAGUUUUCCUGAGCUGACAGAGGUUUCGUUUGGUUGGAGUAACUAAGGAUCAUGUUUGUUUUAAGGUGUGUUCUUUCCUGGCUCCUGAGGUUUGUAGAAUUUCGGGUGUGGCUCAACACAGUCUUCUAAAAUAUUUAUUGCUCUAAAAGGAUGGCGUAAUUGAAUAUGCAACCUGUAAAUAUCUGUCAAACAAUUCUUCAGCAAUAUUCAAAGUGUGCUCUGCUGUCUCGUACAUUUAUGCGUGUUUUGUUCCCACUGACACUGGGGCAAUGGAAGCUACCACACUUCUUCUUAAUUCUUCACUUCUCUCUCAAGGUUCAGCCUUACAGCCCUGACAGCUCUGCAGACAGUACUGAAACCAAAGGAAGUGUCUGUGCUGUGUUCACUGUUACAGAACGGCAGUUUGAAUGUCAGACAGCUGCUCUUGUACCAAAUUAGGCCCAAUUAUGCUAAAUUUAAAAUAUUGUACUCCUUUCUUUUCUUUUUUUAAUUUAUUUUUAUUUAUUGAUUUUUGGCCAUGCCCCGCGGCUUGCAGGAUUUUAGUUUCCCGACCAGGGAUUGAACCCUGGCCCCCGGCAGGGGAAGCGUGGAGUCCUAACCACUGGACCGCCAGGGAAUUCCCACUCCUUUCUUGAUAUAAUUCUUCUCAUGCAUGUUUAAAUUCCAGGGCCUCUUGCUGAAGUUUUUCGAAGGCCUCUCCAGCCAUUUGCUCUAUGGCUCAGGAAGGCCCACACUGCAGACCCAGUAUGGGGGUGUCUCCCUUUGCUCCUGGGGGGCUUAAAUGUUUCAUAGAUUUGUAGCAGUGACUGGGACCUUUAACUUGACAUAUACGUGAGAAAUGUUUUGUUUCUGUUUUUGUUGGUUUUUUGAAUGCCAUAGUAAGAUUUAUAAACUUUGGAAUCACCUUUCCCUAAAAUGAGAAUCAAGUUUGAACUCACACCCCCUUCUGCAUUUACCAGGCCUCAGUAUUCAUGGGUUUGCAUGCGCUUAGAACUGGCUAGUUGGUACUGAAAGUGAAUUCUGGCCUCAGGCCUCCAUACGUCUGUCGAGGGUCAUCCAGCAGAGAAGGAGCCUGGCUUUGCUGUUUAGGGAUGUAUCAGUAUGUUAGUGUGUUAGCUGCACAUUCUGAAGUGUGGGAAGGGGGGUGAGAAGGGAGAAUAAGCAAAUUAGACUGGGAGCCCAGGGGGCCAGACCAGGGAAGCUGGAGUGAGUCUGGGAAAGCCUGGGCUUGGGACGGGCAGGCUGACAGGUGUUGGCCUCUUCCUUUCUCCACUGACCAAGAUGGCUGCUCUGGGCCCAGAAGCAGUUGAGAGGCUCAUUUGUUUUGUUUUUUCAUUUUUUUUAAAAAAAAGGACACAGUUUUUUAAAGAGCAGUUUUAAGUUCACAGCAAAAUUGAGGGGAGGGCAUAGAGAUUUCCCAUAUAGCCCCUACCCAGCCCCCCAGGCAUAUUCUGCCCCGUGCCCCCAUUGUCAGCAUCCCCCAUCAGAGUGGUACAUUUGUUACAACUGAUGAACCUCCACUGACACAUCCUAAUCAGCCAAAGUCCACAGUUUACGUUAGGGUUCACCUUUAGUGUUGGACGUUCUGUGGGUUUGGACAAAUGCGUGAUGAUGCUUAUCCAUCACUGUAGUAUCGUAUAUUGUCCCACGUGUUCUUCAUGUAAGUGUAUCAGUUAUCUAUGGCCACAGCAAUGCUGCAUAACAAAUAACUGUGAAACCUCAUGGGUGUAUACACCAGUCACAUUUUGCUAAGGGUGGCCCAGCUCAGCCAGUCUCAGCUGGAUUUGCUUUUAGCUGGGGUUGGCUGCAGAUGGCAGGACUGGGAAGGUCUUGGCUGGGGUGGCUGGUCUCUGCUCCAUGUGAUUUCUUGUCCUCCAGCAGGCUGGCCCAGGUUUGUUCUCCAUGGCAGGGCUCCCAGGAAGCAAGCAGAGCAAAUAAGGUUCAGCGUCAAUUCUGCUGAAAGAAGUUACAAAGCCAAGCCCAGAUUUACCCUCUAAGUGUGAAUUUGCUUUUGUUUGUAAUGAAUGCUGUUCACUAACCCUAAGCAUUUCUGUUUACCUAAAAUUUAUUUUUAUUGAAAAACAUUUCAGAUAGGUGCCCAAGAAGAGGAUAUCAAGACCCUCCCAUGUGCUAAUCAUUCAGCAUCAACAAGCGUCAGCCCCUGAAGGCCGGCUUUAAUUUUGAUGGAAAGGAUUAUAGGAUUUAAUGCCGCUUUUGGGGUGUGUGUGUGUAUGAAGGUUUCAGAAACCUAGGAGGACAAUUGUCAGGGGGUUUUGAAGCUGGAAUGGAUUUUAGAGGCUAGUGGUCCCCAUCAUUUUGUAGUAGAAGAAAGUGGGGCUCAGAGAAGAGGACAGCUAGAUGUAUCAGGGGAGCUGGGUUCUAGAAUGACCCGGAAGCUAUUCAUGAUCCUUCUUUUGACCCCCCGUGGGCCUCUCCAAGGGGCUUCUGAGCUUCCCACCUUUGCCUCCUGGCUGCCCAUGAGGAAUGGGCUACCUAGAAAUUCUGUGAGGUGGUUUGGGUGAUUUUCAACAUUUGAUUUCUUUUCCACCCUAUGCUUGUAAAGGAGACUAAGGCAGGUGUUAUAAAAAUCUAAAACAAUAAGAGAGCUUAGGGACCCUUUUGGAACCUCAUUUAUUCAUCUAACAUUCAUAUCAAUAUAAUAUGUGAGCUAUUAUUCAAAGCUAUUUUGAAUGACAACUUCUAGUAGAUAUGGCUACAGUUUAGGAAAAGCUUUAAAUGUUAUUUAGCUAAUUGUAAGUUCAAUUCCUCCAAUCAGACCUUUAGGUCAGUAACUGAUGGUUAUAGGAUUGUUCAAAUUUUCUCUUUCUUCCUGAAUCCACUAUGGUAACCUCUAUUUUUCUAGGAAACUGUUCCAUUUUUUUUUCCCCCUGAGUUUUAAAGGUUAAUAGUAUGACGUUUUUACAGAGUUCUCUUUUUAAUCUCUGCUAUAACAUUAUUAUAUCCUGUUUUUCUACAUUUUUGAAUUUAUGCUGUUUAUCUUUUGUGACAUAUUGUCAAAAAUAUUAGUCUUUUCAGAGAAUCAACUUUUGUUCUGGAUCUGUUUCCUUCCUCACUAUUUCAUCAAUUUCUGCUUUUCUUUUUAUUCCUUCCUUCAGGUUUGUUCUACAUGUAACUUUCAAAGUAUCACUUUCAUUUUUUUUCCCCACAAGUUUUGAUAUGUAAUAUUUUAUUAUUGUUGUGUUCUCAUUUACGUUAUGAUUUCCUCUUUUUCUGACCUAGAAGUUAUUUAGAAUGGUGUUUAAAUUUUUAAAAUACAUAUUGUUAAGCUUUAUUAAAAUAUUUAUUUAUUUA